rnacentral:rRNA from 1 species
GAGGGUGCGAGCGUUAAUCGGAAUUACUGGGCGUAAAGCGCACGUAGGCGGCUUGGUAUGUCGGGUGUGAAAUCCCCGGGCUCAACCUGGGAACUGCAUCCGAAACUGCCUUGCUAGAGUAUGGGAGAGGGAAGCGGAAUUUCCGGUGUAGCGGUGAAAUGCGUAGAUAUCGGAAGGAACAUCAGUGGCGAAGGCGGCUUCCUGGACCAAUACUGACGCUCAGGUGCGAAAGCGUGGGGAGCAAACAGGAUUAGAUACCCUGGUAGUCCACGCCCUAAACGAUGACAACUGGAUGUCGGGAGGGUUUGCCUUCCGGUGUCGUAGCAACGCGUUAAGUUGUCCGCCUGGGAAGUACGGCCGCAAGGUUG